UACGUAGGGGGCAAGCGUUGUCCGGAUUUAUUGGGCGUAAAGAGCGUGUAGGCGGCUUGGUAGGUCCGCUGUGAAAACUCGAGGCUCAACCUCGAGAUGUCGGCGGAAACCACUUGGCUAGAGUCCGGAAGAGGAGAGCGGAAUUCCCGGUGUAGCGGUGAAAUGCGCAGAUAUCGGGAAGAACACCUAUGGCGAAGGCAGCUCUCUGGGACGGUACUGACGCUGAGACGCGAAAGCGUGGGGAGCGAACAGG
rnacentral:rRNA from 1 species